UACGUAGGGGGCAAGCGUUGGUCCGGAUUUAUUGGGCGUAAAGAGCGUGUAGGCGGCCAGAUAGGUCCGUUGUGAAAACUCGAGGCUCAACCUCGAGACGCCGAUGGAAACCAUUUGGCUAGAGUCCGGAAGAGGAGAGUGGAAUUCCUGGUGUAGCGGUGAAAUGCGCAGAUAUCGGGAGGAACACCGGUGGCGAAGGCGGUUCUCUGGGCCUGACCUGACGCUGAGGAGCGAAAGCGUGGGGAGCGAACAGG
rnacentral:rRNA from 1 species